ACACGUAUCCAACCUACCUUUUACUCGGGGAUAGGAUUUCGAAAGAAAGAUUAAUACCCGAUGGUAUAAUAUUUCCGCAUGGGAUUAUUAUUAAAGAAUUUCGGUAAAAGAUGGGGAUGCGUUCCAUUAGGCAGUUGGCGGGGUAACGGCCCACCAAACCUUCGAUGGAUAGGGGUUCUGAGAGGAAGGUCCCCCACAUUGGAACUGAGACACGGUCCAAACUCCUACGGGAGGCAGCAGUGAGGAAUAUUGGUCAAUGGACGAGAGUCUGAACCAGCCAAGUAGCGUGAAGGAUGACUGCCCUAUGGGUUGUAAACUUCUUUUAUACGGGAAUAAAGUGAGCCACGUGUGGCUUUUUGUAUGUACCGUAUGAAUAAGGAUCGGCUAACUCCGUGCCAGCAGCCGCGGUAAUACGGAGGAUUCGAGCGUUAUCCGGAUUUAUUGGGUUUAAAGGGAGCGUAGGCGGGUUGUUAAGUCAGUUGUGAAAGUUUGCGGCUCAACCGUAAAUUGCAGUUGAUACUGG
rnacentral:rRNA from 1 species